rnacentral:rRNA from 1 species
UUUAAACAAUGCAGUCGAAAGAUGAUGCCCAGCUUGCUGGGUGGAUUAGUGGCGAACGGGUGAGUAACACGUGAGUAACCUGCCCCUGACUCUGGGAUAAGCGUUGGAAACGACGUCUAAUACUGGAUAUGACUGCCGGCCGCAUGGUCUGGUGGUGGAAAGAUUUUUUGGUUGGGGAUGGACUCGCGGCCUAUCAGCUUGUUGGUGAGGUAAUGGCUCACCAAGGCGACGACGGGUAGCCGGCCUGAGAGGGUGACCGGCCACACUGGGACUGAGACACGGCCCAGACUCCUACGGGAGGCAGCAGUGGGGAAUAUUGCACAAUGGGCGAAAGCCUGAUGCAGCAACGCCGCGUGAGGGAUGACGGCCUUCGGGUUGUAAACCUCUUUUAGUAGGGAAGAAGCGAAAGUGACGGUACCUGCAGAAAAAGCACCGGCUAACUACGUGCCAGCAGCCGCGGUAAUACGUAGGGUGCAAGCGUUGUCCGGAAUUAUUGGGCGUAAAGAGCUCGUAGGCGGUUUGUCGCGUCUGCUGUGAAAUCCCGAGGCUCAACCUCGGGCUUGCAGUGGGUACGGGCAGACUAGAGUGCGGUAGGGGAGAUUGGAAUUCCUGGUGUAGCGGUGGAAUGCGCAGAUAUCAGGAGGAACACCGAUGGCGAAGGCAGAUCUCUGGGCCGUAACUGACGCUGAGGAGCGAAAGCGUGGGGAGCGAACAGGAUUAGAUACCCUGGUAGUCCACGCCGUAAACGUUGGGCGCUAGAUGUAGGGACCUUUCCACGGUUUCUGUGUCGUAGCUAACGCAUUAAGCGCCCCGCCUGGGGAGUACGGCCGCAAGGCUAAAACUCAAAGGAAUUGACGGGGGCCCGCACAAGCGGCGGAGCAUGCGGAUUAAUUCGAUGCAACGCGAAGAACCUUACCAAGGCUUGACAUACACCGGAAACGGCCAGAGAUGGUCGCCCCCUUGUGGUCGGUGUACAGGUGGUGCAUGGUUGUCGUCAGCUCGUGUCGUGAGAUGUUGGGUUAAGUCCCGCAACGAGCGCAACCCUCGUUCUAUGUUGCCAGCGCGUUAUGGCGGGGACUCAUAGGAGACUGCCGGGGUCAACUCGGAGGAAGGUGGGGAUGACGUCAAAUCAUCAUGCCCCUUAUGUCUUGGGCUUCACGCAUGCUACAAUGGCCGGUACAAAGGGCUGCGAUACCGUAAGGUGGAGCGAAUCCCAAAAAGCCGGUCUCAGUUCGGAUUGAGGUCUGCAACUCGACCUCAUGAAGUCGGAGUCGCUAGUAAUCGCAGAUCAGC